rnacentral:snRNA from 1 species
UUGCUUCCGCAGCACAUAUACUAAAAUUAGAGUGAUACAGAGAAGAUUGGCAUGGCCCCUGCACAAGGAUGACACACAAAUUCAUGAAGCGUUCCAUAUUUUU